GACGAACGCUGGCGGCGUGCUUAACACAUGCAAGUCGAACGAUGAACCCGGAGCUUGCUCCGGUGGAUUAGUGGCGAACGGGUGAGUAACACGUGAGUAACCUGCCCUUGACUCUGGGAUAACUGCGGGAAACUGUAGCUAAUACCGGAUACGACCCUCGGCGGCAUCGCCAGGGGGUGGAAAGAAUUUCGGUCAAGGAUGGACUCGCGGCCUAUCAGCUAGUUGGUGAGGUAACGGCUCACCAAGGCGACGACGGGUAGUCGGCCUGAGAGGGUGACCGGCCACACUGGGACUGAGAUACGGCCCAGACUCCUACGGGAGGCAGCAGUGGGGAAUAUUGAACAAUGGGCGCAAGCCUGAUGCAGCGACGCCGCGUGAGGGAUGACGGCCCUCGGGUUGUAAACCUCUUUCAGCACCGACGAAGCGCAAGUGACGGUAGGUGCAGAAGAAGGACCGGCCAACUACGUGCCAGCCGCCGCCGUAA
rnacentral:rRNA from 1 species